GGUAGGCCAAUUUAAGUUAAUUUUGGACCAAUUUCAAGAGAUUGUGACGGGCAACAACUGUAUGGAUGUUGUAGAGGAGACAAUGGCGCAUCGUUUAAGAAAAUCUCCUGAGUGGUUUAUGUUCGAAAAUCUGAAGUUACGGUUAAAAAACUGAAAUUGUGAAAUUGACAAAAUGAGAUUAGGGGGGUAGGCCAAUUUAAGUUAAUUUUGGACCAAUUUCAAGAGAUUGUGACGGGCAACGACUAUAUAGGUGUUGUAGAGGAGACAAUGGCGCGUCGUUUAAGAAAAUCUCCAGAGUGGUUUAUGUUCGAAAAUCUGAAGUUACGGUUAAAAAACUGAAAAUUUUAUUGUGAAAUUGACAAAAUGAGAUUAGGGGGGUAGGGCACUAAAAGAAAAAUUUGGACCAUUUUAAAGAGAUUGUGACGGAGAACGACUAUAUAGGUGUUGUAGAGGAGACAUUGGCGCAUCGUUUAAGAAAAUCUCCAGAGUGGUUUAUGUUCGAAAAUCUGAAGUUACGGUUAAAAAAAUUUUAUUGUGAAAUUGACAAAAUGAGAUUAGGGGGGUAGGGCACUAAAAGAAAAAUUUGGACCAUUUUAAAGAGAUUGUGACGGGCAACGACUAUAUAGGUGUUGUAGAGGAGACAAUGGCGCAUCGUUUAAGAAAAUCUCCAGAGUGGUUUAUGUUCGAAAAUCUGAAGUUACGGUUAAAAAACUGAAACUUUUAUUGUGAAAUUGACAAAAUGAGAUUAGGGGGUAGGGCAAUUUAAGUUAAUUUUGGACCAAUUUUAAGAGAUUGUGACGGGCAACGACUAUAAAGGUGUUGUAGAGGAAACAAUGGCGCAUCGUUUAAGAAAAUAUCCAGAGUGGUUUAUGUUCGAAAAUCUGAAGUUACGGUUAAAAAAAUUGAAAUUGUGAAAUUGACAAAAUGAGAUAAGGGGGGUAGGCCAAUUUAAAUUAAUUUUGGACCAAUUUCAAGAGAUUGUGACGACGAACGACUAUAUAGGUGUUGUAGAGGAGACAAUGGCGCAUCGUUUAAGAAAAUCUCCAGAGUGAUUUAUGUUCGAAAAUCUGAAGUUACGAUUAAAAAACUGAAACUUUUAUUUGUGAAGUUGACAAAAUGAGAUUAGGGGGUAGGGCAAUUUAAGUUAAUUUUGGACCAAUUUCAAGAGAUUGUGACGGGGAACGACUAUUUAGGUGUUGUAGAGGAAACAAUGGCGCAUCGUUUAAGAAAAUCUCCAGAUUGGUUUAUGUUCGAAAAUCUGAAGUUACGGUUAAAAAACUGAAAAUUUUAUUGUGAAAUUGACAAAAUGAGAUUAAGGGGGUAGGGCACUAAAAGAAAAAUUUGUACCAUUUUAAAGAGACUGUGACGGAGAACGACUAUAUAGGUGUUGUAGAGGAGACAAUGGCGCAUCGUUUAAGAAAAUCUCCAGAGUGGUUUAUGUUCGAAAAUCUGAAGUUACGAUUAAAAAACUGAAACUUUUAUUGUGAAAUUGACAAAAUGAGAUUAGGGGGUAGGGCACAAAAAGAAAAAUAAGGCAUUUUAAAGAGAUUGUGACGGACAACGACUAUAUAGGUGUUGUAGAGGAGAUAAUGACGCAUCGUUUAAGAAAAUCUCCAGAGUGGUUUAUGUUCGAAAAUCUGAAGUUACGAUUAAAAAACUGAAACUUUUAUUGUGAAAUUGACAAAAUGAGAUUAGGGGGGUAGGGCAAUUUAAGUUAAUUUUGGACCAAUUUUAAGAGAUUGUGACGGGCAACGACUAUAUAGGUGUUGUAGAGGAGACAUUGGCGCAUCGUUUAAGAAAAUUUCCUGAGUGGUUUAUGUUCGAAAAUCUGAAGUUACGGUUAAAAAACUGGAUUUUUUUUUUUUUUUUUUUGUGAAAUUGACAAAAUGAGAUUAGGGGGUAGGGCACAAAAAGAAAAAUAAGGCAUUUUAAAGAGAUUGUGACGGACAACGACUAUAUAGGUGUUGUAGAGGAGAUAAUGACGCAUCGUUUAAGAAAAUCUCCAGAGUGGUUUAUGUUCGAAAAUCUGAAGUUACGAUUAAAAAACUGAAACUUUUAUUGUGAAAUUGACAAAAUGAGAUUACGGGGGUAGGGCAACUUAAGUUAAUUUUGGACCAAUUUCAAGAGAUUGUGACGGGCAACAACUAUAUGGAUUUUGUAGAGGAGACAAUGGCGCAU